rnacentral:misc_RNA from 1 species
GGUUCGAUUAUGGCUCAGAUUGAACGCUGGCGGGAUGCUUUACACAUGCAAGUCGAACGGCAGCACGGACUUCGGUCUGGUGGCGAGUGGCGAACGGGUGAGUAAUGUAUCGGAACGUGCCUAGUAGCGGGGGAUAACUACGCGAAAGCGUAGCUAAUACCGCAUACGCCCUUCGGGGAAAGCGAGGGGACCUUCGGGCCUCGCACUAUUAGAGCGGCCGAUAUCGGAUUAGCUAGUUGGUGGGGUAACAGCUCUGGGCGACGAUCCGUAGCUGGUUUUGAGAGGACGACCAGCCACACUGGGACUGAGACACGGCCCAGACUCCUACGGGGAGAGCAGCAGUGGGGAAUUUUGGACAAUGGAGGAAACCUGAUCCAGCCAUCCGCGUGUGCGAUGAAGGCCUUCGGGUUGUAAAGCACUUUUGGCAGGGAAAGAAACGGCACGGGGAUAAUACCCCGUACAACUGACAGUACCUGCAGAAUAAGCACCGGCUAACUACGUGCCAGCAGCCGCGGUAAUACGUAGGGUGCAAGCGUUAAUCGGAGAUUACUGGGCGUAAAGCGUGCGCAGGCGGUUCGGAAAAGAUGUGAAAUCCCAGAGCUUAACUUUGGAACUGCAUUUUUAACUACCGAGCUAGAGUGUGUCAGAGGGAGGUGGAAUUCCGCGAUGUAGCAGUGAAAUGCGUAGAUAUGCGGAGGAACACCGAUGGCGAAGGCAGCCUCCGCCAGGACCGCUGCCCAAUAUGCACUUAGCGUGGGAGCAAACAGGAUUAGAUACCUGGUAGUCCACGCCUAAACGAUGUCAACUAGCUGUUGAGACUACUUAAUGCGUAACCCC